rnacentral:rRNA from 1 species
AGAGUUUGAUCCUGGCUCAGGACGAACGCUGGCGGCGUGCCUAACACAUGCAAGUCGAGCGGAGACAGUGAGUAGCUUGCUAUGAGCUGUUUUAGCGGCGGACGGGUGAGUAACGCGUGAGCAACCUUUCCCAGACAGGGGGAAUAACACACCGAAAGGUGUACUAAUACCGCAUAAGACCACGGGAUCACAUGGUUCUGGGGUAAAAGAUUUAUCGGGUUUUGGGGGUGGGCUCGCGUCCGAUUAGGUAGUUGGUGAGGUAACCGG